CGUAGGGUGCGAGCGUUAAUCGGAAUUACUGGGCGUAAAGCGUGCGCAGGCGGUUAUAUAAGACAGUUGUGAAAUCCCCGGGCUUAACCUGGGAACUGCAUCUGUGACUGUAUAGCUAGAGUACGGCAGAGGGGGAUGGAAUUCCGCGUGUAGCAGUGAAAUGCGUAGAUAUGCGGAGGAACACCGAUGGCGAAGGCAAUCCCCUGGGCCUGUACUGACGCUCAUGCACGAAAGCGUGGGGAGCAAACAGGA
rnacentral:rRNA from 1 species